rnacentral:rRNA from 1 species
AAUCAACGCUGGCGGCGUGCCUAACACAUGCAAGUCGCACGAGAAAGUGGAGCAAUCCAUGAGUACAGUGGCGCACGGGUGAGUAACACGUGAAUAAUCUACCUUCGAGUGGGGAAUAACUGAGAGAAAUCUUAGCUAAUACCGCAUAACACUUACGAGUCAAAGCAGCAAUGCGCUUGAAGAGGAGUUCGCGGCAGAUUAGUUAGUUGGCGGGGAAUGGCCCACCAAGACGAUGAUCUGUAUCCGGCCUGAGAGGGCGCACGGACACACUGGAACUGAAACACGGUCCAGACUCCUACGGGAGGCAGCAGUGGGGAAUUUUGCGCAAUGGGGGAAACCCUGACGCAGCAACGCCGCGUGGAGGAUGAAGCCCCUUGGGGGUGUAAACUCCUUUCGAUAGGGAAGAUAAUGACGGUACCUAUAGAAGAAGCCCCGGCUAACUUCGUGCCAGCAGCCGCGGU